UCCCUCUAACAGCUAGUUUUUAGGGGUGAAUUCUCGUAAGUUACGCAUCAAAACCUACACUAUGCCUUCCAGUUGCAAUUGUGCAGCGCAGAUAGUGACGAUCCAAUUCUUCUUCUAAGACAAUGAAGAAGAAGGCCAAAAUCAAUUGGAAUACUCGCUCUUGCAUUGCCACCGAAAUAUUAGCUGAUUUCAUGCCUUGUGAGGUCACUGUUUUCUGCUCUAGUAUUCAAACUUUGAGGUGCACGCUUCUCGUGAACCGAAGGGUCCACACUCCACAGGAUUGCACUCACAGAUAUGUGCAAGCAACUUUUAAAGAUUCUCGAUGGCGUUACGAUACUAAUACAUACUAUCAUUACUAUGCAGUCGUCUCAUUAUGUUCAUUUACUUGGCUGGAAAUGGAACAAACAGUGGAUCAUCACGAUCAUCAUCACUACACUACGUACGCGUCGAUUUUUUUUUUUUUUUUUUCUAUUUUGGGGGUUGGUUGGUUUACACAGCAUGAGCUAUACUAUAACCUCUACACUACUUUUUGUUGGCUGCUGGGGCCGGGGAGUCCCGCUCCAUGAUUCCAUUCCAAAGUAAGAAUUAUUUGAAGAAGAGAAUUAAUUGAGUCGGUUUGGCGAAACCUCGUCACAAUAUUACUUGCUCCCAUACGUUCAUGACUUCAUGCUAUAAUGAGGAGGAAAUUGUAUAUAUAUGCAUCAACCAACUUUUCCCUUUUGCUUUAUUAUUUUUCCUGUCAUCAAUCGAUUGUCUUCCAACUUCCACACAUAAUGAUUGGAUGAUUUGUAAACUCUCUCUUUAUUUUUUUCUUUUUUUUCAGAUCCUCAGUAUGACAAUCGUCUUAGAAAUAGGAGACUAAGAGGACACUCGAUAAGACAAGCAACUGUAUUAAAAGAAUGGGUACUUGUUAAGGUAGAUUAAACAGAUGAGAGGAGAGGAGAAAUGGAUGGCAGGGAGUGGGAGUGACAGAGGAUCACAUGCCCACUUAUCAGAGAAGAAGCAAGAGUUCAGAGCAGCAAGGGAGGGGAGGGACGACGGACGACGGACGACGGACGAGGGAGAGAUGAGUACAUGGAUACCUUCCCUUUACAGCGGGAGAUUACCCACGUCACCCUCACAAGAACGAUCCCUUCCAUCUCUCCUCGUUUUCUCCUCCAUCUUCUGUUUGUCUUCUUCCAUCUUGGUAUGCGUGCAUCGAUUCUCUCGCUCUCUUCUUUCUUUCACACUGGAUUUUGUUCAUCAUCCGCUAGGUACAGCCAUCAGCCUACAUCAUCACAGUGCUCAUUAAAUUAAAAAAAAAAAGAGGACUACAUUACCAUUAUCAUAGUCAUAAAUUGACAGGAACUUUCUCCAAUGCCUUUGUUGGAAUUUUCUUUUACUUUGAUGAAGGUGAAAAGGGACUUCUGGUAAAAAUUGGAACAACAUGGUAAGAGAGUCUACCUUCAUUUAAUUCUUGUCUCAUGCUAGCUAGAGGCCUAGAGCAGAAGCCAAUCACUAAUAGAUAGAUCUGAUCUAAUUAUUUUACUUAGAGUACUGCUUCUAUUAUAUAUCCAAUAUCAUCACAAUAUCUCUCAAAUACCGGGAAGAAGAUGG